GGAAACUGCGGUUGGGAUGUCAUAUAUGAGAAAAUAAACAAAAAAAAUAAGAUGGGAAAACGGGUUUGCAAAAGGACAAGCAGAAACACAGGUGCAUUUUCUUCAAAAUGUCAUCCAAUCUAGCAAACAUGGAAUCUGGGCCCAAGUGACAGAAUGCUUUCUCUGUGCAUUUCCAUCAAGCUGCCUGUUAACGUUAUCCAUCCAAAUCUCCAACAUGAUUUGCUGGCAAUGGAAAACUACGUCUUAUGAUGAUUCCCUUGUAUAACCAGGGAGAUGGAAUCUCAUUGACAAACAAGUGGACUCAAGCAGAGCUCUGGUUUCCUCCAAUACCCAUCUCCAAGGCAGUGCACGGAAGAAACAGCAAGUCAUGGAUGUCCUCAAUUGGCAGAACACAAGCAAGUCUUUGAGAGCACAUGCCGUGAGAUCCAGCAGAUGGUGAUGUUUCCAAACAAGGUGAUGUGGAGCAUGAGUUCAAGCUGCCUGGGAGGUCUGAAGUGUUUACUGAUGCUAAACUCCAAGAAGGCUUCAGAUGUUGCUCAAGAGUCAAAGGGCACCUUUACAAGCCAUGAAGAUGACCGGGCUAUGCAAAAUAAAAGAACAAUGCGAGGCAGGCUGUGUGGAACUAGGAAUCAAUCAUUCAUUCUCGUCACAAGAAACCCUUUGGCAUGCUGAGAAAUAAACCCACACUCCCUGAAGGCCCCGGCCCUUUUUUUGCUUUGAAAAUGAGAUAUGUGACUAAAAUGGAGGGUUGAUGUUGGAGAUUUGCACCAGAAAGCAAGUCCUAGUGUCCGACGGGAUGGGAGAUCAGUCCAGAUGAGGCCCUGUGUCCAACGUGAUCUGUAUCAGUGGCUGGCAAACUUUCAGAAAGGGCAGGCCGCAGCUUUAUUUAGCCCCUCUAAUUUAAGGUUGUACAUGCCAGGAAUACACUAGAGCAGUUGAGGUCUCUUAACUCAGCCCUUCACAUAACACAGCAAAUAUGAAUUCUUAAGUAGUCAAGGACCUUUGAAAACGUAGCUGCAAAAGUCAUUGGGCCAUUUCUACACGAGCCUUGCUUGACUUCUUGCCAGAAUGUCACCCAGAAUGCCUUAACCUGCCAUGAAGUGACACAAUGAAGGCCAUGGCAGUCACUUUCCCUCUGGUCAGUGCCACUCUGCUCUGCAAUUUCCCAAGGGAUUAGAAGAUGUAUUUCCAAAGGCCAAGCCUUUGGUAUUUUCCUGGCCCUGGCCCUCCAGGCCCUUCUUUAUGGGUCCACAAGCAGAUGUUGCUCUGCCCUGCAGGCAGCUGCAGUGUCUGCAAGGAAUGUUGUCUAACAGGUUGAGCAUCUGAGCCCUGCCAGAGACCACCAGAACACCUGGGCUUUUUCACCCUCCUCCCAUUUGUCCAGUACUUUUCCCCAGGCAAGAUUACUCAAUCCCCGCGCCUCGGUGUAGGUGUCCCUGCUGUACUAUUGUCUACCUUGAUUCCUCAAACUAGGAUAGAUGUUCUUUGUGUUCGCGAUGCCCUUUCUGGACUUGUGUCUGUCUUCCCAACUAGAUUGUAAUGUGAUGAGGACAGUGCUCUGCUUUUGCUUCCCAGGAGGUAAUGAUUUGAAGUUUUGCUACUAAGGGGCACAGAUAGGUGCCAUUUAUUGUUCUACCAGUUUAUAUGUAUGAAUUCAUCCAUGUUUCACAAGCUUUGGCAUAGCUCUUGACAACUGGGUCAAGACUUCAGCUGUAAGACAACACAGGGAGCUUCAACUGACAAUCACAGCAUGUAGGCAGCAGAGGCAAGGCCGAUGGUUCCAAGUUUGUAUCCAGUGAGAGUGAUAUACUGAGUUCAAGGGAAGCUUGUGUUACAGAGCGAGACUGUCUCAAAAAUAAGCAAACAAGUAAAUAAAUAAAAAAUAGAAGAAGAAAGGAAAAAAAUCACUACAAGAGGGGGAAAAGCAGAAAGGGCUGAGCUAUACAAGAUUAUGUGAGAUGAGGCUAGUUGGGCUCACCUCCAGCAGAACAUCCCUAGACCACAGGACUUCAUUUCUGUUUCAUGCUCGAUAAUUCUUAAAAACAAAAGAGGUACAGUGACACUUUCUAAUGACUGGGGCAGUGGAUGAAGAUGAACACCCAGAGGAGAGAAAUAAGUGACUUUGGCUCAGGAAAGAGGCCUGGGCAGGAUACACAAACAAACAAACAAACAAAAAUCUCUGUAACCAAAUGUCUAUGUUUUUCUAAAUAAAUGAACAGUUUUUAAACAUUUUUAAUUUAUGUGGGAGGGUGUGUAUACACUGCACACAUGCAGAACUGGUAUACUCAGAGUCCAGAAGAGGACUUCCAAGAGCUUGUGAGUCUCUUGACCUGGGUGCUGGGAACCUAACUCCCACCCUCCACAAGAGCAGCAACCACUCCUAACUGCUGAGUCAACUUUCCAGCCAAUUCUGCUCUUUUCUUUCCGGCGCUUUUGUCAUGCUCACCUUUCAUUUUCAAAGUCACCGUAUAGUCAAAGAUGAUAUUUGCUGCUCACAUUUUCCUUUUCUGGCCACUAGGAAUAAGGAAAGAAUUGCAUGCCCUUUUACCUUUAAGAAUACUUCCUUAACUCUUGCUUACGGUCUAAUUGGUCAGAACUACCCCCAGGAGAUGCUAGGAAACAGAGGCAAUUUAAGGUGAUCACGUGCCUAGUUUUAAAACAUCAAUUACUAUUCAGGAAAAGGGGGAGUACUGGCAUAGCAACAUGUGCUUGCAGCUCUAAACAUAGUACUUCUGAUAUAAGGAAAGUUCCCCCAAAUUCCAAAUGAGUCAAGGACAUAUUUAGUUAAGAGAUCAAGAAAAACUCCAUAGAGAUAUAGAUAAUCAAUACAGGCUUGGAAGCAUGACAAUUAGUUUGCUGUGGCAGAAACGGUUUUAUGAUUAUUUUGUUUGUAUUGGGGAGUUUUAUUUGUCUGUUUGUUUAGAUUUUGUUAAAAACAGUGCUUCACUUCACAGGCCAGGCUAGCCUACAAUGCUUAAUCCUUCUUCCUCAGUUUCUUGAGUAAUGGUGAUUAUAGGUAUGUAAUGUAACACCCUGGCAAAAGGGGCAUUUUUAGAUAGAUGGAAAAGAAAGAAAAGGGGCAUGGAAAUUGAAAUGAGCAGAAUGCUGUCUUCUUGGGGUUUUUAUUGCUAUGAUAAACACCACAGCCAAAAGCAACUUGGGGACUGUUAGGACUCAAAGAAAUGCUUGACUUAUUUCAUAGCACCACUCUCGGGUCACAAUACAUCAUCAAUGACAGAAGUAAGCGCAGGAACCCAAAGCAGGACCUGGAAGCUAGAACUAGAGCAGAGACAAGGGAGGAUCACUGCUUAUACUGGCUUGCACCCCCACUUUCUAAUAUACCCCAGGGACACCUACUCAGGGAUGGCACUAGCCACAGUGGGCUGGGACCUCUCACAUCAAUCAUUAAGAAAAUGCUUCACAGGCUUGCCUACAAGCCAGUGUAAUGGAGGAAUUCUCUCAUUUGUGGUUCUUUCUUCUCAGAUGACUCUAGCUUAUUUCAAGUUGACAAAAGAUACUAUAUAACAAAAAUGUUGUGGUUUGAAUGAAAGUGGCCUCAUAGGCUCAUAGGGAGUGGCACCAUUAGUGGGGCCUUACUGGAGCAGGUGUGGUAUUGUUGGCGGAAAUGUGUCACUGGGAGGUUGGAAUUUGGGGUUUCAAAAUAGUGCACCAGGCCCAGUGUCAUUCUUUCUUCCUGUUGCCUACUAAUUCUAAUGUAGAACUCUCAGGCACUUUCUCUAGAACCAUGUCUGAGCCUGCAUGCUGCCAAUGUUUCCUAUCAUGAUGGCAGUGGACUAAAUCUCUGAACCUGUAAGCCAGUCCCGAUAGAAUGUUUUCUUUUAUAAAGUCGAGAUGGUCAUGGUGUCUCUUCAUAGCAAUAAACUCUAACUAAGACAAAUGUGUUGCCUUAUUGGGUUCUUGGGUACAAGCCAGAGAACAGUAGGUAACACGAGAGGCAAUGGGGGUAGGUUGGAGUCAUUUGGAGGAAAGACAUAAAUGUCAGAGUAGAGUUUAUAUUGAAUUUGCUGGACCACUGGGAGGAACUGAAGGCCUGAGCCAUUGGCCAAACAGUUUCUAAUUAAUAAAAGUCUCUGUGUGUUUAUUUGGGGUCAAGCAUCUGUGGGACCAGGCAGAACAGAAACCUCUGUCUACAGAGCACUGUGACUAUUACUAUAGUAACAACUUACUUUUUAGCAGGGGACGUAUAAGAGCAAAUUCUCUGUGCUACAACAACAAAAAGAUGGGCAGGUUGGAAUAGAAGAAGCAAUACAGUGAGGCUAUUGACUUCUCAAGUGACACCACCAGCCUAAACAAAAGGGGAAUAGUGGAGUUGGAAGGGAGACAGUGGGUUCAGUUUGAGGUUUCUUGAGCUUUAGGAGUCUUUGGGUUGUCUACAUGAAGAUGUGUAUUCAGAGACACACUGGAAAAUGAGGAGCCCAGUAGAACCAUUCAAAGCAGUGGUUCUCAACCUUCCUAAUGCUGUAACCCUUCCUCAUGUUGUGGUGACCCCCCAAGCAUAAAAUUAUUUCAUUUCUUCUUCAUAACUGCAAUUUUGCUACUGUAAUGAAUCAUAAUGUAAAUAUCUGUGGUUUUUGACAUGUGAUCCUUGUGAAAGGAUCAUUCAACUUCUAAAGUAGUCAUGACCCAUAGUUUGAGAACUACUGCUUUAAAUAAAUGAGAUUGCAAAUGUGAAAGUAUAAAGACCAAAGGAAAAUGGGCAUGGGCAGUCCAAAUGGGUGAGUUUCAAGCAUGGAGGGAAGGAAGGUCAAUGUUAAUGGUUUUAAAAAGGAUGAAACUAAGAAAGGAUCCUUGAGGACAACUAGGAAAACUGUAAAGAAGGGUUGAGUCACCAAGAGGGUUGAGUGCUAUGGGAAAUGUAAAGGAAAUGCAAUCAAGACAAGGAAAAAAGAAGAAACUUCCAGAACACAAGGAAAAGGUAUGGGUGGAUGGCAAAGAAGUUGAGGUGUUUAUUGUAGGCCAUCCUUUGAGUAUGUGGUAUGGAUAUAGGGUGUCUUCAGAUACACUCAUGUUCAGAAAAGCAUGAGAUGGCAAAACCAGAAGGGCCACAGGAUUCUUCAUCUCCAUUAUCAACAUGAGUGGAUUUUGACUCUCCACGGAAACACUCCGCUAUGUAUGGAUAAGGAUGUUGCCAGAAAGGAUUAACUGGGGUAGCAAGAUGCUCCUAACACCAUCCUAUGGGCUAGGGUCCCAGAGGGAAUAAACAGGAGAAAGCAAGCUGAGUAUAAACAUCAAUCUCUAUUUCCUGACUGGAUGCUCAACACUUAAACCAUCAUGCCUUCUUCUCCAUGAUGAUGUGAGUCAAAAUCAACCCUUGCUUCUCUGAGUUGCUGUCAUUAAAUAUUUGAGCAUAGCAAGGGAAAAGUAACUAAUACCAGAUGCUAGACACUUCUAAUCCCCAACAUAACUAGAUUAAGGACAAAGAUCUAUGACCACAGAGAAAAACCCAACCACUUCUGCCCUUGACUGCUUCUAACCAAGUGACCAGCCUCCCUUGGACCUACAGGAAAUCAAAAUGACAGGACUUGGAAAAACUUGCCUUAGUCCCAUUUGCCAAUACAGGCACUAUUUCUGAAGAUUCAAAGUCUGACACUAAUGAACAGAUGACCAGUCUUUGAGAAGAUACAAUAUCCUGUCUGAGAACACUGAUAGAGGACAAUGUCUAUUGUAGAAAAGAUACCUGGAAUUUCAAGACAGACAAAAUUUCAGGUGCCUAGUAAGCCUUGGAAACUAGAAUGUGGAACCCUAUUCUCUAACUCCUCCCUUUAAGGAUAACACCAUUUUCAAAAUUUUGCUUUGCAUAUAUUCAUUGUACAUGAUGAUGCUCACCCUCAUUUUCAUAAAGUAUAUGGUAUGCUUUGACAUGCUCCUCUCAUGGUAUCUUCCCCUAAUUUGUACAUCCACAUUAAUUAG
rnacentral:lncRNA from 1 species